rnacentral:rRNA from 1 species
GCAAGUCGAGCGGACCGACGGGAGCUUGCUCCCUUAGGUCAGCGGCGGACGGGUGAGUAACACGUGGGUAACCUGCCUGUAAGACUGGGAUAACUCCGGGAAACCGGGGCUAAUACCGGAUGCUUGAUUGAACCGCAUGGUUCAAUCAUAAAAGGUGGCUUUUAGCUACCACUUGCAGAUGGACCCGCGGCGCAUUAGCUAGUUGGUGAGGUAACGGCUCACCAAGGCGACGAUGCGUAGCCGACCUGAGAGGGUGAUCGGCCACACUGGGACUGAGACACGGCCCAAACUCCUACGGGAGGCAGCAGUAGGGAAUCUUCCGCAAUGGACGAAAGUCUGACGGAGCAACGCCGCGUGAGUGAUGAAGGUUUUCGGAUCGUAAAACUCUGUUGUUAGGGAAGAACAAGUACCGUUCGAAUAGGGCGGCACCUUGACGGUACCUAACCAGAAAGCCACGGCUAACUACGUGCCAGCAGCCGCGGUAAUACGUAGGUGGCAAGCGUUGUCCGGAA